GCCCAAAUCUCCCCCCUUUUACGUGUCUGAUCUUCGCUCCACAGCAACCAAUACAUCAUCAUCAUCGGAACGAAAAUGCUUGCUCGUUUGGCGACUCAACGUCUACUCGAGAUCCGUCAGCUUUUCGGCAAAUUCCACAGACUUCUCGAUCCCUUCGACUUGCCCUAAACUACCACCUUGAUAGUCCG